rnacentral:rRNA from 1 species
GAGUUUGAUCCUGGCUCAGAUUGAACGCUGGCGGAAUGCUUUACACAUGCAAGUCGAGCGGCAGCGCGGGGCAACCUGGCGGCGAGCGGCGAACGGGUGAGUAAUGCAUCGGAACAUGUCCAUGUCGUGGGGGAUAGCCCGGCGAAAGCCGGAUUAAUACCGCAUACGCCCGAGAGGGGAAAGUGGGGGACCGCAAGGCCUCACGCGAUUGGGUUGGCCGAUGUCCGAUUAGCUAGUUGGCGGGGUAAUGGCCCACCAAGGCGAUGAUCGGUAGCUGGUCUGAGAGGAUGAUCAGCCACACUGGGACUGAGACACGGCCCAGACUCCUACGGGAGGCAGCAGUGGGGAAUUUUGGACAAUGGGGGCAACCCUGAUCCAGCCAUUCCGCGUGAGUGAAGAAGGCC